AACGAACGCUGGCGGCAGGCUUAACACAUGCAAGUCGAACGCGUGUAGCAAUACACGAGUGGCGCACGGGUGAGUAACACGUGGAUUAUCUGCCUUUUGGUUCGGAAUAACCCCGGGAAACUGGGGCUAAUACCGGAUGGUUCCUACGGGAUAAAGAUUUAUCGCCAAAAGAUGAGUCCGCGCCCGAUUAGCUAGUUGGCGGGGUAAUGGCCCACCAAGGCUACGAUCGGUAGCUGGUCUGAGAGGACGAUCAGCCACACUGGGACUGAGACACGGCCCAGACUCCUACGGGAGGCAGCAGUGGGGAAUAUUGGACAAUGGGGGCAACCCUGAUCCAGCCAUGCCGCGUGAGUGAUGAAGGCCUUCGGGUUGUAAAGCUCUUUUGGCGGGGACGAUGAUGACGGUACCCGCAGAAUAAGCCCCGGCUAACUUCGUGCCAGCCGCCGCCGUAAGAC
rnacentral:rRNA from 1 species